rnacentral:rRNA from 1 species
CGUAAGACGAAGCCGUAGCGAAAGCGAGUCCGAAAUGGGCGCACAGUCGCUGGGAGUAGACCCGAAACCCGGUGAUCUACCCAUGUCCAGGAUGAAACGAGGGUAAAACCUCGUGGAGGUCCGAACUCACUACAAGUUGAAAAUGUAGGGGAUGAGGUGUGGGUCGGAGUGAAAGGCUAAUCAAACCGGGAGAUAGCUGGUUCUCGCCGAAAGAUAUUUAGGUAUCGCCUCGGAAAACUCUGUCGAGGAGGUAGAGCACUGGAUGGGGCUAGGGGUCUUACCAGAUUACCAAACCCCAACCAAAACUCCUAAUGCCUCGACAUUUACUCCGGGAGUCAGGCUGUGGAGCUAAGUUCCAUGGCCAAAAGGGAAAGAGCCCAGACCGCCAGCUAAGGUCCCUAAGUCGUUGCUAAGUGGUAAGGAUGUGGAAGCACACAGACAACCAGGAGGUUGGCUUAGAAGCAGCCAUCCUUUUAAAGAAAGCGUAAUAGCUCACUGGUCAAGUGAGUCCGCGCCGAAAAUUUAACGGGGC